rnacentral:misc_RNA from 1 species
CCAGCACGUAUAGACUCAACAGGGCUUUUUGAUGUGUCCAAUAGGAGGAUCCUCUGACGCUCUGUUUGAAUUUCUGCCUUAAUUGUAACAUCCCUAACUUCAAAAUUAGAGCUAUUAUUGAUGCUUAUAUAGCUGCAAAAGGUCUCUCCCAAAUAUAUAGCCCCAAAGGCUUGAGGGAGCACGAGGAGACCAGUGAGCCCAAAUGAAUCGGAGGGGUGUUGGAGGAGGAAUCUGGUGCGAUAGGUGAGAUCAGAUGUGUCGGUGAGCUUGGUGACAUGAGCGUCAAUUAGAGGAGGAAGCCGAGAAGCGGCAAUUGGAUCGUCGAAGAUGUCCUCGCCGACGAUAAGAUCCGAGGGGUCCACACGAAGCGGGGCUUCAACGUGGAAUGAAGGUCUGCAUAGCCUCAUCACCCGAAAGGCCAGCGAGUGCGUCCCCUGCGUUGUGCUCAUGAUUAUUCCACUCUCUCUCUCUCAAUGGAACUGAAAUGACCGAUUAGUGAAUUUGAAGCGAAAUUUGGAGGAGAGGAGAGGAGAGGAGAGGU